rnacentral:rRNA from 1 species
AGAGUUUGAUCAUGGCUCAGAUUGAACGCUGGCGGCAGGCCUAACACAUGCAAGUCGGGCGGUAACAGGAAAGCGCUUGCGCUUUUGCUGACGAGCGGCGGACGGGUGAGUAAUAUGUCGCAAGACCAAAGUGGGGGACCUGAAAGGGCCUCACGCCGUCGGAUGAACCCAGAUGGGAUUAGCUGGUAGGUAGGGUAAUGGCCUACCUAGGCGACGAUCCCUAGCUGGUCUGAGAGGAUGACCAGCCACACUGGGACUGAGACACGGCCCAGACUCCUACGGGAGGCAGCAGUGGGGAAUAUUGCACAAUGGGCGCAAGCCUGAUGCAGCCAUGCCGCGUGUAUGAAGAAGGCCUUCGGGUUGUAAAGUACUUUCAGCGGGGAGGAAGGGUUGAGCCUGAACAGGGCUGGGCCUUGACGUUACCCGCAGAAGAAGCACCGGCUAACUCCGUGCCAGCAGCCGCGGUAAUACGGAGGGUGCGAGCGUUAAUCGGAAUGACUGGGCGUAAAGCGCACGCAGGCGGUCAAUUAAGUUAGAUGUGAAAUCCCCGGGCUCAACCUGGGAAUGGCAUCUAAGACUGGUUGACUGGAGUCUCGUAGAGGGGGGUAGAAUUCCAUGUGUAGCGGUGAAAUGCGUAGAGAUGUGGAGGAAUACCGGUGGCGAAGGCGGCCCCCUGGACGAAGACUGACGCUCAGGUGCGAAAGCGUGGGGAGCAAACAGGAUUAGAUACCCUGGUAGUCCACGCUGUAAACGAUGUCGAUUUGGAGGUUGCGGCCCUGAGCUGUGGCUUCCGAAGCUAACGCGUUAAAUCGACCGCCUGGGGAGUACGGCCGCAAGGUUAAAACUCAAAUGAAUUGACGGGGGCCCGCACAAGCGGUGGAGCAUGUGGUUUAAUUCGAUGCAACGCGAAGAACCUUACCUACUCUUGACAUCCUCAGAAUUUGCUGGAGACAGCGAAGUGCCUUCGGGAACUGAGAGACAGGUGCUGCAUGGCUGUCGUCAGCUCGUGUUGUGAAAUGUUGGGUUAAGUCCCGCAACGAGCGCAACCCUUAUCCUUUGUUGCCAGCACGUCGAGGUGGGAACUCAAAGGAGACUGCCGGUGAUAAACCGGAGGAAGGUGGGGAUGACGUCAAGUCAUCAUGGCCCUUACGAGUAGGGCUACACACGUGCUACAAUGGCGGAUACAAAGUGAAGCGACCUCGCGAGAGCAAGCGGAACACACAAAGUCUGUCGUAGUCCGGAUUGGAGUCUGCAACUCGACUCCAUGAAGUCGGAAUCGCUAGUAAUCGUAGAUCAGCAUGCUACGGUGAAUACGUUCCCGGGCCUUGUACACACCGCCCGUCACACCAUGGGAGUGGGUUGCAAAAGAAGUCGGUAGCUUAACCGCGAGGAGGGCGCUGACCACUUUGUGGCUCAUGACUGGGGUGAAGUCGUAACAAGGUAACCGUAGGGGAACCUGCGGUUG